CCCUUGGGUUGAUAGAAUGCUAGUCGAGCGCUUCAGCCAAAAAGAGGCGCGGCAUACAGCUCAGUAACACGUGGCUAAUCUGCCCUUAGGACGAGAACAACCCCGGGAAACUGGGGCUAACUCUCGAUAGGCGAAGAACUCUGGAAUGAGUCUUCACCCAAAAAGCUUUACGUUAUGCGCGUGAAGUCGCCUAAGGAUGAGGCCGCGACCGAUCAGGUUGUUGGUGAGGUAAUGGCUCACCAAGCCUUUUACCGGUGCGGGCCGUGAGAGCGGGAGCCCGGAGAUGGGCACUGAGACAAGGGCCCAGGCCCUACGGGGCGCAGCAGUCGCGAAAACUUUGCAAUACACGAAAGUGUGACAGGGCUAUCCCGAGUGCCAUCCGCUGAGGAAGGCUUUUACCCAGUCUAGAACGCUGGGGGAAUAAGGAGAGGGCAAGUCUGGUGUCAGCCGCCGCGGUAAUACCAGCUCUCCGAGUGGUGUGGAUGUUUAUUGGGCCUAAAGCAUCCGUAGCUGGCUAAGUUAGUCCCUUGUUAAAUCCACCGAAUUAAUCGUUGGAUUGCGGGGGAUACUGCUUGGCUAGGGGACGAGAGAGGCAGACGGUAUUCCCGGGGUAGGGGUGAAAUCCUAUAAUCCCGAGAAGACCACCAGUGGCGAAGGCUGUCUGCUAGAACGCGCCCGACGGUGAGGGAUGAAAGCUGGGGGAGCGAACCAGAUUAGAUACCCGGGUAGUCCCAGCUGUAAACGAUGCAGGCUAGGUGUUUGGACGGCCACGUGCCGUUCUAGUGCCGCAGGGAAGCUGUUAAGCCUGCCGCCUGGGGAGUACGAUCGCAAGAUUGAAACUUAAAGGAAUUGGCGGGGGAGCACCACAAAGGGGUGAAGCUUGCGGUUUAAUUGGAUUCAACGCCGGG
rnacentral:rRNA from 1 species